rnacentral:rRNA from 1 species
UAAGGAAUAUUGGUCAAUGGACGCAAGUCUGAACCAGCCAUGCCGCGUGGAGGAUGAAGGUCCUCUGGAUUGUAAACUUCUUUUAUCUGGGACGAAACACUUCUUUUCUAAGAGGCCUGACGGUACCAGGUGAAUAAGCACCGGCUAACUCCGUGCCAGCAGCCGCGGUAAUACGGAGGGUGCAAGCGUUAUCCGGAUUCACUGGGUUUAAAGGGUGCGUAGGUGGGUAUGUAAGUCAGUGGUGAAAUCCCCGAGCUUAACUUGGGAACUGCCAUUGAUACUAUAUAUCUUGAAUACCGUAGAGGUGAGCGGAAUAUGACAUGUAGCGGUGAAAUGCUUAGAUAUGACAUGGAACACCAAUUGCGAAGGCAGCUUACUAUGCGGUGAUUGACACUGAGGCACGAAAGCGUGGGUAGCAAACA